rnacentral:rRNA from 1 species
AACGAACGCUGGCGGCAGGCUUAACACAUGCAAGUCGAACGCCCCGCAAGGGGAGUGGCAGACGGGUGAGUAACGCGUGGGAACAUGCCUUUCGGUUCGGAAUAGUCCCGGGAAACUGGGGUUAAUACCGGAUUCGCCCUUCGGGGGAAAGAUUUAUCGCCGAAAGAUUGGCCCGCGUCUGAUUAGCUAGUUGGCGGUGUAAUGGACCACCAAGGCGACGAUCAGUAGCUGGUCUGAGAGGAUGAUCAGCCACACUGGGACUGAGACACGGCCCAGACUCCUACGGGAGGCAGCAGUGGGGAAUAUUGGACAAUGGGCGCAAGCCUGAUCCAGCCAUGCCGCGUGAGUGAUGAAGGCCUUAGGGUUGUAAAGCUCUUUCGGCGGGGACGAUAAUGACGGUACCCGCAGAAGAAGCCCCGGCUAACUUCGUGCCAGCCGCCGCGGUAAAAC